UACGAAGGGGGCUAGCGUUGCUCGGAAUCACUGGGCGUAAAGCGCACGUAGGCGGCUUUUUAAGUCAGGGGUGAAAUCCUGGAGCUCAACUCCAGAACUGCCUUUGAUACUGAGAGCUUGAGUCCGGGAGAGGUGAGUGGAACUGCGAGUGUAGAGGUGAAAUUCGUAGAUAUUCGGAAGAACACCAGUGGCGAAGGCGGCUCACUGGCCCGGUACUGACGCUGAGGUGCGAAAGCUAGGGGAGCGAACGGG
rnacentral:rRNA from 1 species